rnacentral:tRNA from 1 species
UAGCUCAGCUGGAUAGAGUGCUGCCCUCCGAAGGCAGAGGUCACAGGUUCGAAUCCUG